AAAAAUCAAUGUGAUUUUCAGACACACUUCAGUCACAAGAUGAAUGCAGUCAGCUACAGCAUGACAUAGACAAGCUAUAGACAGUUGAGAGAGGAAGAAGUCAGUGGCACCCUCACCUCAGACAAGACAAAGCUAACAAUUGAUAAUGAAAGACACACUUCAGUCACAAGAUGAAUGCAGUCAGCUACAGCAUGACAUAGACAAGCUAUAGACAGUUGAGAGAGGAAGAAGUCAGUGGCACCCUCACCUCAGACAAGACAAAGCUAACAAUUGAUAAUGAAAGACCAGCAGCAGCAGCACACAAGAGGUGUUUUCUGUAUGAUGAUAAUCAUCUCUGAAAGGAUGUUAUAAGCAGGGCAACGUAAUGAAACUCAGUGAAUGGACGUGUGUGCGUGGCUGCAAUCACUAUGAAAUUAAGUUGAAAAUAAGAAAUAUAUUACUUUACAGAAAGGAAUGCUUAGAGUGAAUGAAAUUACUGUAAUGAAUGAAUGGAAAUAAAGUUGUGAGUCAUUAAAUGAUUAGGAAAAGAAGCUGUGAAUAGGUGCAUUAUUGUUAUUACUGAAAGGAAGAAUAUUUGUAGGAUAUGUCAUGUAUAUUAUCAAAGUGUUUUCAUUCUUACUUUCUUCUUUCUCUUUCAUCUUUUCUUAGUAUAUUUAAGUGAAUUUCUCUCUCUCUCUCUCUCUCUCUCUCUCUCUCUCUCUCUCUCUCUCUCUCUCUCUCUCUCUCUCUCUCUCUCUCUC